AGUUCUGCGUAGUCUGUGCGGAAUGGAUCCUGCCCUAUGAUUAAUUUUAAAUGGCCGCAGUACUUUAACUGUGCUAAGGUAGCAUAAUAAUUUGGCUUAUAAUUGAAGUCUGGUAUGAAAGGAAGAAUGGAUAGGAGCUGUUUCUAUUGAAUUUAAAGAAACUUACUUAAAAGGUGAAAAUUCCUUUGAUAAUAAAAUAGACGAGAAGACCCUAGGAGUUACUAUAUUUUGUUGGGGCGACAUUUUAGAUUUAACCUAAAUGAUUUGAUCAAACGUUUAUGUGAAUAACAAUUUAACUACCCUAGGGAUAACAGCAUAAUUCCUUAAGGAGAUUGUGACCUCGAUGUUGGACUAGG
rnacentral:rRNA from 1 species